GCAUCAAGAUGUCGGUCGUGCUUCGGUACGUACUGGUAUCAUUGGUUUCUCCUUUCUGACGAACCAUGAUGUCAUUAAUUUGGUGUUAUGGGGAGUUAGGACUGUUACUUUGAAAAAAUUAGAGUGUUUAAAGCAGGCUUUAGCUUGAAUACAUUAGCAUGGAAUAAUGAAAUAGGACGUUCGAACCUAUUUUGUUGGUUUCUAGGACCGAGGUA
rnacentral:rRNA from 1 species